AGUGUAUCAUGUGUGGUCGCUAGAAGAAAAAAAAGAAAAAAAACUUUUUUAAAAGUCGACGCGACGGAACCGAUACUGGUGCGCUCGGGGAACCUAAAGAAAGGAAAGGCCAGUCUGGAGUUGACGGUAAACGGUCAAAAUGGCCCUACAGUUGCAGGAUCUGCACCCAGGAGGUCAAAUUAUUUCGGAAAAAGGCCAAAUAAUUAUUGUUUCACGGCUUAAGCAGGCCUCCCGUAAGAAAAACAAGCAACGAAAUCGGUCGGCAGGAACCGGUCCCAGUAAUGUGUCGAAUCUUCACCGCCUCAUGCGACGUUAUUGGGUGCUGGACUUGUUUAAACCGAAACCAGGGGAUCAAAUUUUUCGGGAAGAUCCAUAGAAGCAACCGACUCCGAUUAUGUGCCAGGUCUUCUAAACCGUCUUUUACGUUGGAGCAAGAUAAGUUAGCCUGGAAGGAACCUGUAACAUGCACUGUAUAAAUAUGUCGAAGAAAAAGAAAACACACGGAAGUUGAAGAUGGUCCCGAUUCUCGAGUUUAAAAGCAUCCGCUGAAAAAAAAAUCUGAAAUUUGACCUAAGCAAGAAGA